rnacentral:misc_RNA from 1 species
GAUGAAGAACGCAGUGAAAUGCGAUAAGUAAUGUGAAUUGCAGAAUUCAGUGAAUCAUCGAAUCUUUGAACGCACAUUGCGCCCGCCAGUAUUCUGGCGGGCAUGCCUGUUCGAGCGUCAUUUCAACCAUCAAGCCCCCGGCUUGUGUUGGGGACCUGCGGCUGCCGCAGGCCCUGAAAACCAGUGGCGGGCUCGCUAGUCACUCCGAGCGUAGUAAUACAUCUCGCUCAGGGCGUGCUGCGGGUUCCGGCCGUUAAAAAGCCUUAUUUACCCAAGGUUGACCUCGGAUCAGGUAGGAAGACCCGCUGAACUUAAGCAUAUCAAUAAGCGGAGGA